ACAGUACGGGAUCCUUUCUGGAAUGGAGGUCUUAUGAGCUGCUAUUGAACACGGCAGGUAGCUCAUGGUGCUCCCUUCCUUGGUGCAGACGGGCAGUUCAAACCACACAAACUCCAGCCUGUGGGAGAGGGAUCCUUCAUCCUGGACGCACCUGCCCUCUGCCCAGCCACUAUAAAAACCAGAGCCACGUGCCCCUUCUUUUGCUUGAGUGUGGGCCCUGCUGUCCCCAGAAAGCCUCAUUACGGCUUUGCUGGAAACCUGCCUGUGAGCUGACAACUAGCAAAGAGUGCUAAGUGUUUGUUAAACAAGGCAAGAUCACAGUGUUCAGCAGACACGAAAGGCCUCAGAUGGGCUGUUGGACCCAGAAAUACACACAGGAAUAAGAUGCAGCCUUGCCUUCAAGAAGUCCCCAGCCUAGUAGAGGCAAUGUCUCUAUAGGUUAUGAUUUACCUCCAGAUGAAUUAAACAGGCAAGAACCACACUUCCCACUCUGAUAUGUGAUGUGGGUGGGGCACGUGCUCAUUCCUGGAGCCGCCUCCCUGUUG
rnacentral:lncRNA from 1 species